CGGUGCCAGACCGCCGCGGUAAUACCCGGUCGGCUCGAGUGGUAACCGUUAUUAUUGGGUCUAAAGGGUCUGUAGCCGGCCGGAUAAGUCUCUUGAGAAAUCUGGCAGCUUAACUGUCAGGCUUUCAGGAAAUACUGUCUGGCUCGAGGCCGGGAGAGGUGAGAGGUACUUCAGGGGUAGGGGUGAAAUCUUGUAAUCCUUGAAGGACCACCAGUGGCGAAGGUGUCUCACCAAAACGGACCUGACGGCAAGGGAAAAACGCUAGGGGCACGAACCGGAUUAAAUACCCGGGCCAGCCCUAGCCCG
rnacentral:rRNA from 1 species